rnacentral:rRNA from 1 species
CCUACGGGAGGCAGCAGUGGGGAAUAUUGCACAAUGGGGGAAACCCUGAUGCAGCGACGCCGCGUGCGUGAAGAAGUAAUUCGUUAUGUAAAGCCCUAUCAGCAGGGAAGAUAAUGACGGUACCUGAGUAAGAAGCCCCGGCUAACUACGUGCCAGCAGCCGCGGUAAUACGUAGGGGGCAAGCGUUAUCCGGAUUUACUGGGUGUAAAGGGAGCGUAGACGGCAGUGCAAGUCUGAAGUGAAAGGCGGGGGCUCAACCCCCGGACUGCUCUGGAAACUGUACGGCUGGAGUGCAGGAGAGGUAAGUGGAAUUCCUAGUGUAGCGGUGAAAUGCGUAGAUAUUAGGAGGAACACCAGUGGCGAAGGCGGCUUACUAGACUGUAACUGACGUUGAGGCGCGAAAGCGUGGGGAGCAAACAGGAUUAGAUACCCCUGUAGUC